GUCCACGCCGUAAACGAUGAAUGCUAGCCGUUGGGUAGCUUGCUAUUCAGUGGCGCAGCUAACGCAUUAAGCAUUCCGCCUGGGGAGUACGGCCGCAAGGUUGAAACUCAAAGGAAUUGACGGGGGCCCGCACAAGCGGUGGAGCAUGUGGUUUAAUUCGACGCAACGCGCAGAACCUUACCAGGGUUUGACAUCCUGCGACCGCUCCCCUAAAUAGGAGUUUUCCCCGCAAGGGACGCAGAGACAGGUGCUGCAUGGCUGUCGU
rnacentral:rRNA from 1 species